rnacentral:lncRNA from 1 species
UUUUGAUUUUAUAGGAAAGUGCAAAAUAUUUCAUGAAAAUAUAUGCAUGUCAGAAAUCAGUUACAAGAGAUAUAUAGUAAGGUAUAAAAUCAAUAAAUAAUCUGACAGAUUCCAUAUAUACAACAUGCUUAAUGCACAAACAUGCAGGAAACAUGGCUGUCAAUUUAAAAUACAGUUUCCAUCAAUACAUAACAACUAAACACACUCAUCAUUACUUUUAACAACAUUUUGUUCUUAAUGAUUUGUAAUUUUAAGUCAUAUUCAAAAAAUGUCACAAUAAUAAUAGGAGAAAGAUUUAAUAAAGAAAUUCCAAAGAUAGUUUAGAUGUUUUCAUGUUCUGCAACUUGUUAUAUGAAAAGUUAAACCAAGAUGCUAUAGUUUCCUGAAACCUAUUUUGAUAUCAAACAUAACAACAUAUAUCUAAGAAAUAUUGAAGAAUGUUGAAAGGGUUAAGAGGCUGUCCAAGUAAAUAUCAGGCUAAUCCUAUGAUAUGAGUGGCACAACAUAAUUUUUUUCCCAUUGAUUUUGGUUCCAAUGCAAUAUUUAUAUCAUACAAAGGACAUAUAUGUCAAAGAUAUUUUUGAAUCAACAGUGGAUGGCUCAGAAAAUGAUUUUAAAGUUCAACAAAAUUUUGUACAAAAUGUAGAGUUAUCCCCACUUUUCAAUGAAUUUUCAGUGCUUUCUAUGUAUUUUUUUCUCUUCAUUUGUUGCAGUUAAUAAAAAAACCAAAAUUUAACUAUGAGAAAGAAUGAAUUUGUGAUAUGAAAUAGAUGAACAAAUUUUGAAAACGAAAUGUCAUGUGCCAUCCACUGCCUGGUUUUUCCAUGGACACCCUCUUAAAUUGAGGUAUUGCAUGAUCUAAACAUAUUUAUGUUGUUGAAUUAAAACCAUGGCAACAGAUCAAAAUUAACCUUUAUUCCUAUUAUAUUGUUAUAAAUCAGAAAAUCAAGUUAAUUGAGGUACAAAUAUAUAAUUAGUCAGAUAUAUAUUACACUAUAAAAAACAAAACAAGAAUGUGUCCCAAGUACACGGAUGCCCCAUCCGCACUAUCAUUUUCUAUGUUCAGUGGACCGUGAAAAUGGGAUAAAAUCUC